rnacentral:rRNA from 1 species
AGAGUUUGAUCCUGGCUCAGAUUGAACGCUGGCGGCAUGCUUUACACAUGCAAGUCGAACGGUAACAGGGUGCUUGCACCGCUGACGAGUGGCGAACGGGUGAGUAAUGCAUCGGAACGUACCCGGGAGUGGGGGAUAACGCACCGAAAGGUGUGCUAAUACCGCAUAUUCUGUGAGCAGGAAAGCAGGGGACCUUAGGGCCUUGUGCUUCCGGAGCGGCCGAUGUCGGAUUAGCUAGUUGGUGAGGUAAAGGCUCACCAAGGCGACGAUCCGUAGCGGGUCUGAGAGGAUGAUCCGCCACACUGGGACUGAGACACGGCCCAGACUCCUACGGGAGGCAGCAGUGGGGAAUUUUGGACAAUGGGCGCAAGCCUGAUCCAGCCAUGCCGCGUGUCUGAAGAAGGCCUUCGGGUUGUAAAGGACUUUUGUCAGGAAGGAAAACCUAUUGGCUAAUAUCCAGUGGGGAUGACAGUACCUGAAGAAUAAGCACCGGCUAACUACGUGCCAGCAGCCGCGGUAAUACGUAGGGUGCAAGCGUUAAUCGGAAUUACUGGGCGUAAAG